rnacentral:lncRNA from 13 species
GGGACAGAGAUUUGUCUUCCAACAAGACAAUGAUCCAAAACAUAAAGCAAAGUCUACAAUGGAAUGGUUCAAAAAUAAACAUAUCCAGGUGUUAGAAUGGCCAAGUCAAAGUCCAGACCUGAAUCCAAUCGAGAAUCUGUGGAAAGAACUGAAAACUGCUGUUCACAAAUGCUCUCCAUCCAACCUCACUGAGCUCGAGCUGUUUUGCAAGGAGGAAUGGGAAAAAAUGUCAGUCUCUCGAUGUGCAAAACUGAUAGAGACAUACCCCAAGCGACUCGUACAGCUGUAAUCGCAGCAAAAGAUGGCGCUACAAAGUAUUAACUUAAGGGGGCUGAAUAAUUUUGCACGCCCAAUUUUUCAGUUUUUGAUUUGUUAAAAAAGUUUGAAAUAUCCAAUAAAUGUCAUUCCACUUCAUGAUUGUGUCACACUUGUUGUUGAUUCUUCACAAAAAAAUACAGUUUUAUAUCUUUAUGUUUGAAGCCUGAAAUGUGGCAAAAGGUCGCAAAGUUCAAGGGGGCCGAAUACUUUCGCAAGGCACUGUAUUACACAUUUUUAACAUGGCCUAACCUGUUGUUUGUAGGAAAGUCUGUCUCGCUCCGUCUAUCUUGCUCUCUCCAGAUCUCUCUCUCCUUCUGUGUGUCAUGUAUUGUCAUGUUGUGUCUUGUUUCUGUCCUUUCCCUUCACCCUGUCUCCCUCUGCUGGUCGUUAUUAGGUUACCUUUUCUCCCCCUCUUUCCCCCAGCUGUUCCUUGUCUCCUCCUAACUACCUCGUCACCCCUUUUCCCACCUGUUCCUUGUCUCCUCCUAACUACCUCGUCACCCCUUUUCCCACCUGUUCCCUUUUUCCCUCUGAUUAGUCCUCUAUAUCUAUAUCAACCUUGUCCUGUCCUGUCGGAAUCUGCCGGUCCAUCUGAGCCUACCUAUGUUUUGUUAUUAAAGAAGUUCUGUUUACGUUAAUUCGCUUUUGGGUCCUCAUUCACGCACCGCAACACUGUGUCUAUCUCCCCUGCUUGGUCCUAUAUACAUCUUAAACUGAUACUCAUUGCUUUGAA